GGGUCAUUGUUGUGGUGUCAUGGCCGCUGUUGAGGUGUCAUGGCUGCCCUGGUCGUUGUUGGGGUGUCAUGGCCGCCAUCGGGGUGUCAUGGCCGCCGUCGGGGUGUCAUGGCCGCCGGGGUUAUCCUUGGGGUGUCAUGGCCGCCGUGGUCAUCGCUGGGGUGUCAUGGCUGCCUUGGUGGUGUCAGCGCUGCCUUUGGGGUUGUCACGGUGAGCACCACGAUGACGUCACGCCAACCACGAUGACGUCACGCCAACCUCAUUGACCUCUCACCAACCACGGUGAUGACCAUGGUGACCACCACGAUGACCUCACACCAACCACGAUGAUGACCUCUUGCCAACCAUGGUGAUGACCACGACGACCUCUUGCCAACCACGUUGACCUCUUGCCAAAGACAUUGAUGACCUCUUGCCAACGAUGAUGACCCAACACCACCACGUUGACCUCUUGCCAACCGCGUUGACUUCUCCCCAACGCCGCUGCCUCCUCGCCCACCAGGCCCACCAGAAGGCCCACCAGAAGGCCCACCAGAAGGCCCACCAGAAGGCCCACCAGAAGGCCCACCAGAAGGCCCACCAGAAGGCCCACCAGAAGGCCCACCGCCAGGCCCACCACCAGGCCCACCACCAGGCCCACCAGAAGGCCCACCACCGGGCCCACCAGGCGGUGGCCUAGUUGAGCGUGCCGCGGCAGCUCUCGGUGCGGCACAGGCAGGGGAUUUUGGUGUCCUCGAUGGGGAACUUGUAGUCGUAGGUGAUCUCCUCGUUGACCCCGAUGGGCUGCUUCGAGUAGAUGACGAUCUUCUUCUGCGCCUCGAUGGUGAUCACCUUGGCGUAGCAGUUGGGCUGCGGUGGUGGGAGGGGGACGCCAGGGGGUCACGGGGGUGGAA
rnacentral:lncRNA from 1 species